GGCACUGUAGCUCAGUUGGUAGAGCACAUGCUUUACACGCAUGUUGUCGUCGGUUCGAGCCCGGCCAGAGUCA
rnacentral:tRNA from 1 species